AACGAACGCUGGCGGCAUGCCUAACACAUGCAAGUCGAACGAGACCUUCGGGUCUAGUGGCGCACGGGUGCGUAACGCGUGGGAACCUGCCCUUAGGUUCGGAAUAACUCCCCGAAAGGGGUGCUAAUACCGGAUAAUGUCUUCGGACCAAAGAUUUAUCGCCUUUGGAUGGGCCCGCGUUGGAUUAGCUAGUUGGUAGGGUAAAAGCCUACUAAGGCGACGAUCCAUAGCUGGUCUGGGAGGAUGAUCAGCCACACUGGGACUGAGACACGGCCCAGACUCCUACGGGAGGAAGCAGUGGGGAAUAUUGGACAAUGGGCGAAAGCCUGAUCCAGCAAUGCCGCGUGAGUGAUGAAGGCCUUAGGGUUGUAAAGCUCUUUUACCCGGGAUGAUAAUGACAGUACCGGGAGAAUAAGCUCCGGCUAACUCCGUG
rnacentral:rRNA from 1 species